rnacentral:tRNA from 1 species
GGGGCUGUGGCGUAAUGGUAGCGCGUGUGACUCCAGAUCUGACUCCAGGUCGAAUGGUCCAUCAUAAGGUUAGUGGUUCGAUUCCUCUCAGCCUCA